rnacentral:rRNA from 1 species
CAGUCGCCACGGUAAUACGUAGGUGGCAAGCGUUGUCCGGAAUUAUUGGGCGUAAAGGGCUCGCAGGCGGUUUCUUAAGUCUGAUGUGAAAGCCCCCGGCUCAACCGGGGAGGGUCAUUGGAAACUGGGAAACUUGAGUGCAGAAGAGGAGAGUGGAAUUCCGCGUGUAGCGGUGAAAUGCGUAGAGAUGUGGAGGAACACCAGUGGCGAAGGCGACUCUCUGGUCUGUAACUGACGCUGAGGAGCGAAAGCGUGGGGAGCGAACAGGAUUAGAUACCCCUGUAGUCCCUGUCUCUUAUAC